CCGUGGUCUUUAGAAGCCGACUGGUGCCGCGGUGUGUCGAAUAUCUGUGGGAAUUGUCCAGGUGAAGCCAGUUGCGGGUCAGUUGAUGGCGAGCUGCUACUACUACCUGGAACAGAACCUGCCCCAACAACCUCAUCGCCCCCUGUGGGUUUGGUAGGAGGCUGUUGCAGCUUUGCUCACUCCCUCCACUCAUUCUCACACACGGCCAUUCAGUAAGCCUUGGCUUAUGGACUAUUUGCGUUCCACGGAUCAUUCUCGUCAUUUGGACGUAGCGUUCAUCUUUCAUGAACAAACGAAAAUGUCCUAUACUGUGUUGUGACUGUCCUUAAAUCUGAGUACUCCUCAA